rnacentral:lncRNA from 1 species
AUGGGUCCCUGGCAGGUCCCCUGCCCACCCUUCUGCCCAGCAUGGUGGGACAGGGCCCCGUGCUCUUCAGCUGCUCUCUUCAGGAACUUGACCUGGGAUGGGGAAGGUCAUCUUGGUCUGGUCCAGCCUGUUCCUGGGGCUGGGGCUGAUGCAGCUGGCGUGGGUCUCCAGUGUGGAAGUUGCUCUCUGGAGGAACUGCAAGAAGUUUUCCUGGACAGAGGCCUCCGAGACAGAAAGACAGAGCUCCUGGCCCAGCGGCCGGUUGAGACAGCUGCGCCGGAGCCGGGCCAGCUCCUCCCGGAUCUGGCGGUUCAGCAGCCCAUAGAAGAAGGGAUUGAUGGCAAAGGAGGAGUAGGCAAUCCACGUGACCACCAUCUCCCCGUGCCCACCACCCACCGUGCCAGCAGUGACAGAGGAGUGCAAGUGGAAAGCGAAGAAGGGCAGCCAGCAGCACAAGAACUGUCCUACAAUGAGGACCAAGGUGAGGAUGGCCUUGUUGCUUCCCAAAAAAAAGCGCUCUGGCAUCAGCCUGGGCAGUGGCAGGUUCCUGGUGGUGAUGAUAGUCACUUGGCUGGCAAUGGAGUUGGAUCGCUGUCUCGGCGCAGCUGCUGGCUGUGCUGGCACAGAGGCGUGUUGCUGGGAUGCCAUCCGGGCCACGCGGUAGACACUGCAGUAGACAGCGAAGAUGAUGAUGGUGGGCAAGACAAAGCAAACGAUGCUGAAGAUGAUCACAAAAGCCUUCUUGUGGGCCCCAGGGCUCCAGUAGACUGUGCAGCGGCUAGCGCUGGUGGCCCCGUUGCCUUGAGGCCAGCCCACCAGUGCCAAGACGGUGAUGAGAACAGACUUGACCCAAAUGAAGAUCACUCCCGCCACUGCCAGCCUGAUGGUCAUCUUGACCUCAUACCUCAUGGGGUGGACAAUGUAGUAGUACCGCUCCACACUGAUGAUGGCGAUGGUGAGGAUGGAGGCACUGAUGAAGCAGACAUUCAGGAAUAUCAAGGCCUGGCACUCAGCAAUGCUGUAGAUCACCCUGUUGAAGCAGGAGGAGCUGGAGAUGAUCCCCAGGGGCAUGAGGAAAAUGGCAGAGAGGAGGUCGACUGCACAGAGGUGGCAGACAAAGAUGAACUUCCUGAGAAGGGGAGUUUUGAGAAUGACAAGCAUCACCACGGUGUUGGCCACCAGGGCGGUGAGGGUGAGGAGGACCAUACAAAGGAGGCCCAUCACCUCCUGGGCAAUGGACUGCUUGGGGACAGAGAGUGGCUCUAG